rnacentral:lncRNA from 1 species
GAUGGAUGUUGACAUGUUUUGAAAAUUUUAACGUCCUCAUUAUAAAUUGACUUUAACAAAUGGACAAACUGAUAAGUAUGGAUGACUUGCCUACUCAGAAUAGAAUAUUGAAUUAUAUUUCUUGGUUUGGAAUACUAAUAAUUGGAUGACAUAGAAGCUCUUUCUUUCUCAAUGAAGUGACAAAAUUUCAAUUAUUUCCAUCUCUUGUUUCUCUUAUCAUUUAUUGCCACUUCAAAAUGGAUGCCACAAGUCUGUUAUUGCUUACAUUCCAAGAAAUGAAACCUGCAUUAGUACUGACAUUAUCUUUGGCUUAUAUGCUUUGAUAUCGUUUACUUGUUUAUUGUAUAUUUGCUAAGGCACUUCAAGGUUUUCUACUGGAAAUAAUUUAAAACUUGAGCAGGUUAUUUUAGUGUUGCUUAACAUGUUAUGGCAAGGCACUUCUAAUAUGCUUUGUUUUCCCCGCAUUAUUCCUAUCAAUGGGUUAAUACUUUUGAGCAAUAUACU